rnacentral:misc_RNA from 1 species
GCAGGGGAUAGUGGGGUUGAAGUUUGAUCUCUUACAAAUCAUAUAUACAGCUAUCAUAUGUCCACCACUGUAAUCAGUGAUAAAUUCAUAGAAUUCUUUUNNUUUAAAAAAAAAUACAGAAAAGAAAAAAAUAAGAUUAGUAUCAAAGCCGAUACAAAAUACACUUGAAGCGAGGGAUUAAACAUAAAGGAUGAGUCUUGUAGAACUCGAUUAGCAAGCGUGUGGGCUGCUUGACUGUAAUUCCUCAUCACAAAAGAGAAAGAGACCUUCUAAAAAGAAGAAGCCAAGAGUUUGAUAUGUUUAACAACACCUUUUAUGUUCAAAGGAAUAAAGCCUCCAUUAAGAGCGUUGAUUAAAAUUUAAGAGUCUCCGUCACAGACAAUCUUCAUGAAAUCGUUAGCUCUUGCAAGCAAAAUUGAUCCUCCAAGGCCAAAGUUAAGUAUCAAUAUAGUGGGGAUUUGAGGCUUGCCAUGAGAAGAAGAAAUAGAAAACAAACAAACAAAUGGGUGGCAUAGAAUAUAAGCUACAUAGCAGAGAUGUGUAGUCCUUUGAAGGAUACNNNNNNNNUCUGAUGAGAUAUUAAGUGAAGUUUUCUUCCCAUAAAAGGUUAUGUUUAGUUGUUUUUAUGAGGGAUGGAUUUUAUUUUUA